ACGCUCGACACCUACGGGAGGCGGCAGUAGGGAAUCUUCCACAAUGGGCGCAAGCCUGAUGGAGCAAUACCGCGUGAGUGAAGAAGGGUUUCGGCUCGUAAAGCUCUGUUGUUGGAGAAGAACGUGCGUGAGAGUAACUGUUCACGCAGUGACGGUAUCCAACCAGAAAGUCACGGCUAACUACGUGCCAGAGCCGCGGUAAUCUGAGCGGGCCGUGGACGAACGGC
rnacentral:rRNA from 1 species